rnacentral:rRNA from 1 species
UGCGGGGGGGGCAAGCGUUGUUCGGAAUUACUGGGCGUAAAGGGCUCGUAGGUGGCCAACUAAGUCAAACGUGAAAUCCCUCGGCUUAACCGGGGAACUGCGUCUGAUACUGGAUGGCUUGAGUUUGGGAGAGGGAUGCGGAAUUCCAGGUGUAGCGGUGAAAUGCGUAGAUAUCUGGAGGAACACCGGUGGCGAAGGCGGCAUCCUGGACCAACACUGACACUGAGGAGCGAAAGCCAGGGGAGCAAACGGG